GAACUUACCUGGCAGGGGAGGCACCCCGGUCACAAAGGGGUUUUCCCGGGCGAGGCUCACCCAUGGCCCUCCGGAGGUGCUGACCCCUGCGAUCUCCCCAAAUGCGGGAAACGCGGCGGCAUCGUUUGUGGUCGUGGGGGACUGCGUUCGCGCUCUCCGCGG